CCCAAAGCGUAACGGAGGAGCACGAAGGUUAGCUAAUCCUGGUCGGACAUCAGGAGGUUAGUGCAAUGGCAUAAGCUAGCUUGACUGCGAGCGUGACGGCGCGAGCAGGUGCGAAAGCAGGUCAUAGUGAUCCGGUGGUUCUGAAUGGAAGGGCCAUCGCUCAACGGAUAAAAGGUACUCCGGGGAUAACAGGCUGAUACCGCCCAAGAGUUCAUAUCGACGGCGGUGUUUGGCACCUCGAUGUCGGCUCAUCACAUCCUGGGGCUGAAGUAGGUCCCAAGGGUAUGGCUGUUCGCCAUUUAAAGUGGUACGCGAGCUGGGUUUAGAACGUCGUGAGACAGUUCGGUCCCUAUCUGCCGUGGGCGCUGGAGAAUUGAGGGGGGCUGCUCCUAGUACGAGAGGACCG
rnacentral:rRNA from 1 species